rnacentral:rRNA from 1 species
AGCGAACGCUGGCGGCAGGCCUAACACAUGCAAGUCGAACGAAGUCUUCGGACUUAGUGGCGGACGGGUGAGUAACACGUGGGAACGGGCCUUUAGGUGCGGACUAACUCAGGGAAACUUGUGCUAAUACCGAAUGUGCCCUUCGGGGGAAAGAUUUAUCGCCUUUAGAGCGGCCCGCGUCUCAUUAGCUAGUUGGUGAGGUAAAGGCCCACCAAGGCUACGAUCAGUAGCUGGUCUGAGAGGAUGACCAGCCACAUUGGGACUGAGACACGGCCCAAACUCCUACGGGAGGCAGCAGUGGGGAAUCUUGCGCAAUGGGCGAAAGCCUGACGCAGCCAUGCCGCGUGGAUGAUGAAGGUCUUAGGAUUGUAAAAUCCUUUCACCGGUGAAGAUAAUGACUGUAGCCGGAGAAGAAGCCCCGGCUAACUUCGUGCCAGCCGCCGCUGUAACAC